UACGAAGGGGGCUAGCGUUGCUCGGAAUCACUGGGCGUAAAGCGCACGUAGGCGGAUUGUUAAGUCAGGGGUGAAAUCCUGGAGCUCAACUCCAGAACUGCCUUUGAUACUGGCGAUCUUGAGUCCGGGAGAGGUGAGUGGAACUGCGAGUGUAGAGGUGAAAUUCGUAGAUAUUCGCAAGAACACCAGUGGCGAAGGCGGCUCACUGGCC
rnacentral:rRNA from 1 species